ACGGGAGGCAGCAGUGAGGAAUAUUGGUCAAUGGGCGGAAGCCUGAACCAGCCAAGUCGCGUGAAGGAUGAAGGUAUUAUGUAUUGUAAACUUCUUUAGCAGCAGAGUAAUAAGUGGAUCGUGAUCCACGAUGCAAGUAUGCUGAGAAUAAGCAUCGGCUAACUCCGUGCCAGCAGCCGCGGUAAUACGGAGGAUGCGAGCGUUAUCCGGAUUUAUUGGGUUUAAAGGGUGCGCAGGCGGCACGUUAAGUCAGCGGUGAAAUGUCGGGGCUCAACCCGGGCACUGCCGUUGAAACUGGCGAGCUCGAGUACGGAUGAAGUUGGCGGAAUGUGAUGUGUAGCGGUGAAAUGCUUAGAUAUGUCACAGAACACCGAUUGCGAAGGCAGCUGACUAAUCCGCAACUGACGCUCAGGCACGAAAGCGUGGGGAUCGAACAGGAUUAGAUACCCUGGUA
rnacentral:rRNA from 1 species